UACGUAGGGUGCAAGCGUUAUCCGGAAUUAUUGGGCGUAAAGAGCUCGUAGGCGGUUUGUUGCGUCUGCUGUGAAAACUGGAGGCUCAACCUCCAGCCUGCAGUGGGUACGGGCAAACUAGAGUGCGGUAGGGGAGAUUGGAAUUCCUGGUGUAGCGGUGGAAUGCGCAGAUAUCAGGAGGAACACCGAUGGCGAAGGCAGAUCUCUGGGCCGUAACUGACGCUGAGGAGCGAAAGCAUGGGGAGCGAACAGG
rnacentral:rRNA from 1 species